rnacentral:lncRNA from 1 species
UUUGAGGUUUGUAAACAAUAUGAGAAAGCCUUAGACUUAGGGUUUCUAUUCAAGUAAUCAGGAUUAUAAUAGUAUAUAAGCAAGGGUUGUAUAUUGGAUAUUCUAGAACUCAAACUAAAUAAUAUUCUAUCAAUUUCCGUUUGUUUAGAAUAUAUAUUGUCUGGAUCUCAGAUCCAAAUUGUUGUUUGUUGAUCUGGAGAAAGUGUCGAUCGAUACUAUCGAUGGAUAGUCGAUCGAUACACCUUUCAAAACGUCGAUCGAUACACCUAUAGGGUUGUCGAUCGAUGUUCCUUCCGGCAAGCUUUACCGAGCAUGUUUAAAUUAUGUUCACUAGGUUUCGUAGAUCAAAUUUCGUUUGUUUCUAG